GACGAACGCUGGCGGCGUGCUUAACACAUGCAAGUCGAACGGAAAGGCCCUGCUUUUGUGGGGUGCUCGAGUGGCGAACGGGUGAGUAACACGUGAGUAACCUGCCCUUGACUUUGGGAUAACUUCAGGAAACUGGGGCUAAUACCGGAUAGGAGCUCCUGCUGCAUGGUGGGGGUUGGAAAGUUUCGGCGGUUGGGGAUGGACUCGCGGCUUAUCAGCUUGUUGGUGGGGUAGUGGCUUACCAAGGCUUUGACGGGUAGCCGGCCUGAGAGGGUGACCGGCAACGUUGGGACUGAGAUACGGCCCAGACUCCUACGGGAGGCAGCAGUGGGGAAUAUUGCACAAGGGGCGGAAGCCUGAUGCAGCAACGCCGCGUGCGGGAUGACGGCCUUCGGGUUGUAAACCGCUUUCGCCUGUGACGAAGCGUGAGUGACGGUAAUGUGUAAAGAAGCACCGGCUAACUACGUG
rnacentral:rRNA from 1 species